AUUGAACGCUGGCGGCAGGCCUAACACAUGCAAGUCGAGCGGAUGAAGGGAGCUUGCUCCUGGAUUCAGCGGCGGACGGGUGAGUAAUGCCUAGGAAUCUGCCUGGUAGUGGGGGAUAACGUCCGGAAACGGGCGCUAAUACCGCAUACGUCCUGAGGGAGAAAGUGGGGGAUCUUCGGACCUCACGCUAUCAGAUGAGCCUAGGUCGGAUUAGCUAGUUGGUGGGGUAAAGGCCUACUAAGGCGACGAUCCGUAACUGGUCUGAGAGGAUGAUCAGUCACACUGGAACUGAGACACGGUCCAGACUCCUACGGGAGGCAGCAGUGGGGAAUAUUGGACAAAGGGCGAAAGCCUGAUCCAGCCAUGCCGCGUGUGUGAAGAAGGUCUUCGGAUUGUAAAGCACUUUAAGUUGGGAGGAAGGGCAGUAAGUUAAUACCUUGCUGUUUUGACGUUACCAACAGAAUAAGCACCGGCUAACUUCGUG
rnacentral:rRNA from 1 species